rnacentral:lncRNA from 1 species
CAGAACCAGGCCGCUGAGAGUUGCCUGAAGUCCCUCUGAGACUGGUUGGCCAUUGCUAUGGCCAGAGACAUUUUUUUGCCAGUUUCCAGUAAGGUCUAUGAAUUGGCCUACAGACGUCAGGAAAGGAGAGGGAAGAGAGGAGAGAAGAGGAGAGCAGGGAAGAGAGGGGAGACGAAGGGAGGGGAAGAGAAGGGGGGAGGGGAGGGGAGGGAAGGAGAGGAAAAGAGGAGGGGGCAGGAGGAGGAAAGGAGAGGAGAAGGAGAGGGGAGGAGGAGGGAAACAGAAGAGAGGAGAGGAGGGCAGGGGAGGACGAGACAAGACUAGCAGAAGUGAGAGCCUGCAGAGACCUCGGUGCCAGCUGGGGCGCUGCUGCCGCGCGAGGCCGGUCCUGCGCAGAGAUGCCCCCGGGGGCGCGGGCGCCGGCUGAGGAGUCGGAGCGGCAGCUCUGGCCCCGAUUCCCUGGGCAGAAUUCCUGCGGGCUUGAAAGACGCAAGGAGAGGAAGGCUCCAUCUGUCAGAAAUGCCUCCGCAUGGAAAAGUGCUCAAGACACAGUCCUAGCCCCAGCACUUGACUGUGCCUUGCAUACAGCGGACACUCAUAAACACUUGAUGGAUGACAAUGCGUUGAUGCAAGCAAGGCUGAAUCUCGGACAUGAUGAGAGAGAGAAAGUAGAGGAGGCUGACGCUGCGGGCUUGUUUGUCCAUCCGUUCCUGCAUCCCUUUAAAGCAUCUGCUCUGCCUUCAGAGGACUCAGUAGCGCUGCUCGACUCAGAUGGGAGGAUGUGAUCAGACGUCAGGGGAAGUUUCCCGGAAAAGGCUUAAACUACUAGAAGCCAUUAUUCAAGGAAAAUUGUGGGUGCUAGAAGACAUGAACUCGCGUAUGUGGCUCAGGCCGUAUUUCUGCUGGCCAGCGCCGGCCAGUCCGCUGCGGGAGUGCUCAGGAAGUCAAGACACCAGGCGCUGGGAGGCCUGACGCGCGGCAUCUUGUCCAUCUGGCCAUUGGAGCUCCAUGCUGCGACGGCCGCGCAGAGGAGCUGGGUCCAGAGCGCCCGGCGCAUCUGCCGUAUCGCGGACUCGACGCCAGCAUCACUGCUGCAUGGAUUCAGACUGGGAUAGACUGCUCCCGAAAUUUGACUUGGAGAAGAAAGCGUGACGUGCACUUCCUGUGUGUGGCAGUCCGCGAGCCGUCCCCGGGCGCCCUCCUCCCGCCUCCACCACUUUGCGCCUGGCUUUCUCUUUGCCCGGAGGAGCCCUCCUCCCGCCUCCACUGGUGAAAUCCUCCUCCGUCCUCACUGCCCAGUUCAAGUCCUCGUCCUCUUUCCGGGCUUCCUGGUUCUCCAGAUGGGAAAAGAGGUGCUCCUAAUCCACGCUCUCGCAGGAGAAGCAGAGCAAGCGCGCAGGGAGUGCUGACUGUCCAUGAGACAUCAUCGGGAUUUCUAGCUGGCGUUUCCUAGAAUCACCUUCCAAAUGAACCACCUGUACUUGAAUGGUGGUUUGAGCGCUGGUGUCUGGAGGAACCAAAACUAAGACAAUGGCUGUAUCAAGAGUCUGAAGAAUGAAGUCAUGGUCGGAGUCUGAGUCAUGCUUCAGAACUGUUUACUGAGAGAAAAGUGCUUCUGAUGGAAGCUCACGCACCAGUGAGGUUGGGGAGCACGAGAAAGUGAGAACAGAAUGGGGCUGAAGGAAAGGACAGGAAAGGAGAAGGGGUUACUUCAACAAGUUGGUUCUGCCGGAGGCUCAGGAACGUGGAGAAGCAGUUUGAGGUGUGCAGAGGAGAAAUGCACAGAAGGCCAGGAAGCCCGACACUAGAUCACUGCCUCCUGGGAAAUCAUGAAAUCUGAUUAAAACAGACACCGUAAGGGCUCUUUUUGUGCUAUGCACUUUUCUUCCUGGGGAAUUUGCAUAUUCCCUGAUAAAAAGAUAGAUAUAAAGUGUCCUGAAGAAUAUUAAGAAGUAAACCGUAGUACAACGCCUUUAGUUUUGAAUAGUAAGAACUCUGUUUCCUCAUUUCCUUUGGAAAUCUAACAAAAUAUUCCUUAUGAAAAAUUUUUGAGGAUAAGCACUUAAAAGACAUUGCUACAAGCUGUGCUCCUAAUGUUUUCUUAUCAUUUUUUACCUACAUGGAAAGCAUACAGAUCACCAUGACGGCCCCGUAGCUGCCAAGUGAAAGGGUGUUAAGAUGAUUUUGACCCUCUACAUUGAAUGUGCUGUCAUCUUUACUGUAAAAGAAAUUACCUAGACUCAAAUCAUUAUCCAGAAGUCACUAAAUCUUUUGACAUAAAAUGGCAAAAUCUUUUAAGAAUAAAUGAUAUAGCAAGACCAAGGAUAAACUGAGUUCAACAAAAAUCAAUUGCUGUGAAAUCUAGUUUGUCUAUUUUGAUUUUGUCUAUUUCCUUGUCUUUCUCCUGGGGAGAGGAGCAGAUUUUGUACCUAAACCAAAGAUGGGGACACCACUGGUGAAGCCGUUCUUUUGUCUUCUUCCCGCAACGCAUGCCUCUGCUUGAACCUCUUCCCUCCCAGGUCUGAGGUGGGAGCUUGGGGACCCCAGGGUCCUAAGGGAAUGACAAUUGUGGCAUUCAUCUCUGGGAGGACAGGGGGAGAGGGUGUAUAAGAAAAUAGUGUUCAGGCCAGUUAAUGACGUGAGCGGGGGAAGGGCAAGCGUGGGGAACGGAGCGGGUUCUGAGAGCAAGAAGGGGAUGAAAUGGGUGAU